rnacentral:rRNA from 1 species
UACGUAGGGUGCGAGCGUUGUCCGGAAUUAUUGGGCGUAAAGAGCUCGUAGGCGGUGUGUCACGUCGAUCGUGAAAACUUGGGGCUUAACCCUGAGCUUGCGGUCGAUACGGGCAUCACUGGAGUUCGGCAGGGGAGACUGGAAUUCCUGGUGUAGCGGUGAAAUGCGUAGAGAUCGGCAGGAACACCCAGGGGGAAACCAGUCGACUGGGCAUCUACUGACGCUGAGGUGCGAGAGCGUGGGGAGCGAACCGG